rnacentral:rRNA from 1 species
UGGGGAAUUUUGGACAAUGGGCGAAAGCCUGAUCCAGCAAUGCCGCGUGUGUGAAGAAGGCCUUCGGGUUGUAAAGCACUUUUGUCCGGAAAGAAAUCCUUGGCUCUAAUACAGUCGGGGGAUGACGGUACCGGAAGAAUAAGCACCGGCUAACUACGUGCCAGCAGCCGCGGUAAUACGUAGGGUGCAAGCGUUAAUCGGAAUUACUGGGCGUAAAGCGUGCGCAGGCGGUUUGCUAAGACCGAUGUGAAAUCCCCGGGCUCAACCUGGGAACUGCAUUGGUGACUGGCAGGCUAGAGUAUGGCAGAGGGGGGUAGAAUUCCACGUGUAGCAGUGAAAUGCGUAGAGAUGUGGAGGAAUACCGAUGGCGAAGGCAGCCCCCUGGGCCAAUACUGACGCUCAUGCACGAAAAGCGUGGGGGAGCAAACAGGAUUAGAUACCCUGGUAGUCCACGCCCUAAACGAUGUCAACUAGUUGUUGGGGACUUCAUUUCCUUAGUAACGUAGCUAACGCGUGAAGUUGACCGCCUGGGGAGUACGGUCGCAAGAUUAAAACUCAAAGGAAUUGACGGGGUCAUAGCUGUUUCCU